rnacentral:rRNA from 1 species
GUAGGUGGCAAGCGUUGUCCGGAAUUAUUGGGCGUAAAGCGCGCGCAGGCGGUUCUUUAAGUCUGAUGUGAAAGCCCACGGGCUCAACCGUGAGGGUCAUUGGAAACUGGAGAACUUGAGUACAGAAGAGGAAAGCGGAAUUCCACGUGUAGCGGUGAAAUGCGUAGAGAUGUGGAGGAACACCAGUGGCGAAGGCGGCUUUCUGGUCUGUAACUGACGCUGAGGCGCGAAAGCGUGGGGAGCAAACAGGAUUAGAUACCCUGGUAGUCCACGCCGUAAACGAUGAGUGCUAAGUGUCAGGGGGUUUCCGCCCCUUAGUGCUGCAGCUAACGCAUUAAGCACUCCGCCUGGGAGUACGGCCGCAAGGCUG